rnacentral:rRNA from 1 species
CCGUAGGUGAACCUGCGGAAGGAUCAUUAAUGAAACUUCAAGUCGGCUGUUCUGUGCUGGUGGCAACACAUGUGCACGCUCAGUCGCAAUCCACACACCUGUGCACUUUGACUCUGAGCACCGCCAGUCAUAUGGCAGAAGGUUGUAAGGCUUUUAUGGUCUGAACCUGGUGUUCGAGUACUUUUACACACUCAGAAUGUAAUGGAAUGUCACUGUACAAUGUACAACUAUAAACAACUUUCAACAACGGAUCUCUUGCCUCUCGCAUCGAUGAAGAACGCAGCGAAAUGCGAUAAGUAAUGUGAAUUGCAGAAUUCAGUGAAUCAUCGAAUCUUUGAACGCACCUUGCACCCUUUGGUAUUCCGAAGGGUACACCCGUUUGAGUGUCAUUGUAAUCUCACUUCAACCACUUUUGUGAUGUUGAAUGUGGACUUGGAUGUUGCCGUGUCCAAUGGCUCAUCUGAAAUGCUUGAGUGUACCCUGCUUUGCAGCGUAUCAGUGUGAUAAACAUCUUCACUGUUAAGUCUCUAGGGACACGCUAGUGUUGCAGGCUCUAUGCUUCCAACCGUCUUAGGACAAUCUCUGACAAUUUGACCUCAAAUCGGGUGGGACUACCCGCUGAACUUAAGCAUAUCAAUAAGCGGAGGA